CCUACGGGUGGCAGCAGUGGGGAAUAUUGCACAAUGGGGGAAACCCUGAUGCAGCACCGCCGCGUGAAGGAAGACGGUUUUCGGAUUGUAAACUUCUGUUCUUCGUGAAGAAUAAUGACGUUAGCUAAGGAGCACGCCCCGGCUAACUACGUGCCAGCAGCCGCGGUAAUACGUAGGUGGCAAGCGUUGUCCGGAAUUACUGGGUGUACAGGGGGCGCAGGCGGGAAGCCCAGUCAGCUGUGAAAACUACGGGAUUAAGUUGGAGACUGCAGGUGAAACUGGUUUUCUUGAGUGAAGUAGAGGUUGGCGGAAUUCCGAGUGUAGCGGUGAAAUGCGUAGAUAUUCGGAGGAACACCGGUGGCGAAGGCGGCCAACUGGGCUUUAACUGACGCUGAGGCUCGAAAGUGUGGGGAGCAAACAGGAUUAGAUACCCGAGUAGUC
rnacentral:rRNA from 1 species